rnacentral:rRNA from 1 species
UACGUAGGGUGCGAGCGUUGUCCGGAAUUAUUGGGCGUAAAGAGCUUGUAGGCGGUUUGUCGCGUCUGCCGUGAAAUCCCGGGGCUCAACCCCGGAACUGCACUGGAUACUGCCAUGCUUGAGUACUGGAGAGGAGAUUGGAAUUUACGGUGUAGCGGUGAAAUGCGCAGAUAUCAGGAGGAACACCGAUGGCGAAGGCAGGUCACUGGGCCGCAACUGACGCUGAGGAGCGAAAGCAUGGGGAGCGAACAGG